GAGGGUACAGCUCAGUUGUAGAGAGUGUGCUUCGCAUGCCCAAGGUCCUGAGUUCAAUCCCCAGUACCUCCA
rnacentral:tRNA from 1 species